rnacentral:rRNA from 1 species
GAUGAACGCUGGCGGCGUGCCUAAUACAUGCAAGUCGAGCGAACGGACGAGAAGCUUGCUUCUCUGAUGUUAGCGGCGGACGGGUGAGUAACACGUGGAUAACCUACCUAUAAGACUGGGAUAACUUCGGGAAACCGGAGCUAAUACCGGAUAAUAUUAUGAACCGCAUGGUUCAAAAGUGAAAGACGGUCUUGCUGUCACUUAUAGAUGGAUCCGCGCUGCAUUAGCUAGUUGGUAAGGUAACGGCUUACCAAGGCAACGAUGUAUAGCCGACCUGAGAGGGGGAUGGGCCACACGGGACCUGAGACACGGUCCAAACCCCCACGGGGGGCAGCAGGAGGGAAUCUUCCGAAAGGGGCGAAAGCCUGACGGAGCAACGCCGGGGGAGUGAAGAAGGUUUUCGGAUCGUAAAACUCUGUUAUUGGGGAAGAACAUAUUUGAAAGUAACUGGGCAAAUCUUGACGGUACCAAACCAGAAAGCCACGGCUAACUACGG